rnacentral:lncRNA from 1 species
UAAUCUAUUCUUUUAGGCCCGUUGGCCCAAAAUCCACUCCACUUGUAUCAAGUACAACCUUGGCUUCAUGGCCCAAAUGAACGAAUAAAAAUAAAAACUAAAUAAAUAAAGACAACAAUAAUAAAUGACUAAAUAAAUGAAUGGAAUGGAAACCAAGACUUUUAAGUCUCUUGGCCGCUUCAAAUACGGGACUUUAAUCCUUGAUUCUUCCUUCAAUUUCUUGUAUCCAAUGCUAUGGAACCGGCUUUGAGCUUCCUUUUGGGUUUGAUCCGAUGGACAUAGUGGGCCUCAAUGGCCCAUUUAGAUGCAAAGGGGAAAAGGCCCAUUGGGACCCCAAAACGGAUUUACAUGCAAAGAAAGAUAUGAAGGAAUUAAUACCCAUUUGAGACAUAACAUACCCCAACAUAAAGAAAUAUCAAGGACCAAAUUUUGAAUGAUAACGAUGCACAUACUUACGCAUAUAAAAAAAUGAGAGUCAGUAGAUACAAUGCAAAGCAUGGAUGGGCAUAUCUAAUAAUUCAACAGAAUGAAACAACUAGAAUAAAGGUAACCUCUCUAAAAUGACACACAAUUUAAUCAAUCUUAUUGUGCCUAGUUCGGACAUACCUAGUUAACUUCAUCAGAGGUAGAGAUACAUUCUUGGACACAACAAGCAGUGAAUACAACAAACAAAGGUCACGAAAGUAUAUUAAAAGGGAAAAGUGCCUUGCAUAAGUUCUUAAAGGGAGAUUUUAUACCAACAAACAGGGUUCCACCAUGUAAUUUCUAGUAUCGAUGAUUCAAAUUUUAGCACUCCUAACCAGCGAAAGAUCAAUUGUCCCAGGUUUCAACCAAAGGCAUUUAUUAAGGGGUAGGAUCAAAAUAGAAGAAAGAAAAAGCUAGACACGGAUCAUGCAAAAAAAUAGUUUACUGAUGUUAGAUCAUAACAGUGUAAUAAAAUGCAUUCCUUAACGAAAUCAGGUUAUCGAUAACAAACUUAAAGGAAAAUCCGAACAAAAGUCCCUUGGACACUCUUAUCUUCUUUUAGCUAAUUCCUUUAAACAACAAGCUAACGAUUGAAGAUUCAUAAGGCUUUCAUAUUCACAACAGUAACUAGAAACGGGAGGAAAUCGUACUAUAGCCGAGAAACUUACAUAUGCAUUGAGAAAAAAAGAGACCAAAAAUAAUUGAGAACAAGCAUUAGCAUUGAUAGACGUUUGUGUUACUGAACAUACGAAUAAAGAAUGGAAAACUAUUUCUUGACUGUUCCCUCACAAGACUUCGAUUCUUAAGCACGUGAGCUAACAAAGAACCAACAUGAGGUUGUCAAUUUAGUAAAGAAACAAAGUAAAGCAGAGAUAGAACAAACGGAGACAAAGCCAUGAAUAAGGAGUUAAACAUUCAAGAAAACCAUCAUAACCAUACAAUAAACUUUACUUUCAUCAUCAAAGAAACUACACAACCACCACACAGACCUCACUUUCAUUCAUUCAAACAAACAACUAUUACUACAGAGAAAGGGAUGAAGAAGAAAUAUGCCGAUAAAAUUAAAUGGGUUGAUAUUUACCUCUUUCGGAGAAGCAAACGGGACUCGAGCAAUCACCGGAGUCGUCACCACCGAAAAAUGUACUCAACUCAAAAUUCAAGUUUUGGCUGAUGAACGGACGGAAAAAUGGAACUUCUAGAUUCUGAAACAGUAACCCCCAAAAGAAAAAUCCCCCAACUUCGAUCUCCAAGAUUUCCUCCGAGAUUUUCAAACCCAUCCCCUCUUGAACCUCUUCUUUUUGGACCCCAAAAAACACCUCCAGAAUUCUCGUCCCCUAACAGUGAGUCCCCAAGGGUAUUUAUAUAGAAGGCCAAAUGAGGGUGAUUUUGAAAUUCGAAAAUAAGAUAUUUUGGAACUUUGCAAUUCCCUCCCCCUCCAGCUUGGGGUUUCAACACUAAAUGUACCAAUUUUGAAAUUGGUGGACUAAUCAGAUUGGAGAAAAUUGAAUCCCCUUUUCAACCAAUGAAAAAUGUUCAAAUAAGUACGAAAUCAUCCUAUCUCAUCCAAGAAUCACGGGAUUGAACCGUCGGAGAGGGACAACUCAUUCGAUUCUAGAACUUUUGAGGGUUUUCUCGCAUGAAUUUGCGCGUGACGGAGUGAGACGCAUGUGGAUAAGGAUCGGGUUUUCGAUUUUGAAGCUGGUUCAGAUUUCACUGGUUAUUGAUAUAGGUAUGGGAGAUGGGUUGUUGAUGGCUCGCGGGUAUGGUUGCUUUUUUGAAAGAAUUAUUGGUGUUGUUGCGAUUUGGAGUCGUUGUUGUUGAGAUUGUUGGCUGUUUGAUGCUUUUUGGUUGAUGUUCACUGAAGGUUCUUGUUUGUACAAGCGUUGAAGGAGAAAAGAGGGCAAUGGUGGG